AGAGUUUGAUCCUGGCUCAGGACGAACAUUGGCGGCGCGCCUAAUGCAUGCAAGUCGAGCGAACUCGUUUUCUUCGGAAAGCACAUAGUUAGCGGCGAACGGCUGAGUAACGCGUAAGUAACCUGCCUCGAAGAGGGGAAAAACCAUGAGAAAUCAUGGCUAAUUCCGCGUAAUGUCAAUUAAUUAAUUUAAUUGAAGAAAGAUUUAUCGCUUUGAGAUGGGCUUGCGUCCUAUCAGGUAGUUGGUGAGGUAAAAGCUCACCAAGCCUAAGACGGGUAGCUGGAGUGAGAGCUUGACCAGCCAGAGGGGGACUGAGACACGGCCCCCACUCCUACGGGAGGCAGCAGCAGGGAAUCUUGCACAAUGGGCGAAAGCCUGAUGCAGCGACGCCGCGUGAGGGAUGAAGGUUUUAGGAUCGUAAACCUCUUUUCUUAGGGAAUAGUUUGGAAGGUACCUAAGGAAUAAGUCACGGCUAACUACGUGCCAGCAGCCGCGGUAAUACGUAGGUGGCAAAUGUUGUCCGGAAUCAUUGGGCGUAAAGGGUCCGUAGGUGGCUUGAAAAGUCUUAUGUGAAAUCUCUUGGCUCAACCAAGAAACGCCAUAAGAAACUUUCAUGCUAGAGAUCAUCAGAGGGAGGUAGAAUUUCAGGUGUAGUGGUGAAAUGCGUAGAUAUCUGAAGGAAUACCAAUGGCGAAAGCAGCCUCCUGGGGUGAAUCUGACAUUGAGGGACGAAAGCGUGGGUAGCAAACCGGAUUAGAUACCCGGGUAGUCCACGCUGUAAACGAUGAAUACUGGGUCUUCGGGGAAUCGACCCCUUGUGGACCGAAGCUAACGCGUUAAGUAUUCCGCCUGGGGAGUACGGUCGCAAGACUAAAACUCAAAGGAAUUGAC
rnacentral:rRNA from 1 species